GGAGGGUGCAAGCGUUGUUCGGAAUUACUGGGCGUAAAGCGCGUGUAGGCGGCCUUUUAUGUCAGAUGUGAAAGCCCUCGGCCCAACCGAGGAAGUGCGUCUGAAACUGAGAGGCUUGAGUACGAGAGAGGAGGACGGAAUUCCCAGUGUAGAGGUGAAAUUCGUAGAUAUUGGGAGGAACACCAGUGGCGAAAGCGGUUCACUGGAUCGAUACUGACGCUAAGACGCGAAAGCGUGGGGAGCAAACAGGGAUUAGAUACCCUGGUAGUCCACGCCGUAAACGACGGAUAUUAGGUGUUGCGGGUUUAUCCCUCGCAGUGCCCGACGCUAACGCAUUAAAUAUCCCGCCUGGGGGAGUACGGCCGCAGGUUA
rnacentral:rRNA from 1 species